CUGCUGAUGAUGCGGUGCUGAGGAACCGCAGGGUCAGAUAUUUGGUGUAUGUGCUUGGCUGAGGAGCCAAUGGUGCGAAGCUACCAUCGGCAGGAUUAUGACUGAACGCCUCUAAGUCAGAAUCCUGUCUCGACGCAG
rnacentral:ncRNA from 1 species